UGGGGAAUAUUGGACAAUGGGCGCAAGCCUGAUCCAGCCAUGCCGCGUGAGUGAUGAAGGCCCUAGGGUUGUAAAGCUCUUUCACCGGUGAAGAUAAUGACGGUAACCGGAGAAGAAGCCCCGGCUAACUUCGUGCCAGCAGCCGCGGUAAUACGAAGGGGGCUAGCGUUGUUCGGAUUUACUGGGCGUAAAGCGCACGUAGGCGGACUUUUAAGUCAGGGGUGAAAUCCCGGGGCUCAACCCCGGAACUGCCUUUGAUACUGGAAGUCUUGAGUAUGGUAGAGGUGAGUGGAAUUCCGAGUGUAGAGGUGAAAUUCGUAGAUAUUCGGAGGAACACCAGUGGCGAAGGCGGCUCACUGGACCAUUACUGACGCUGAGGUGCGAAAGCGUGGGGAGCAAAAAGG
rnacentral:rRNA from 1 species